rnacentral:rRNA from 1 species
CUUGACAUCCAGCGAAUUCGGUAGAGAUACCUUAGUGCCUUCGGGAACGCUAAGACAGGUGCUGCAUGGCUGUCGUCAGCUCGUGUUGUGAAAUGUUGGGUUAAGUCCCGCAACGAGCGCAACCCUUAUCCUUUGUUGCCAGCGGUCCGGCCGGGAACUCAAAGGAGACUGCCAGUGAUAAACUGGAGGAAGGUGGGGAUGACGUCAAGUCAUCAUGGCCCUUACGAGUAGGGCUACACACGUGCUACAAUGGCGCAUACAAAGAGAAGCGACCUCGCGAGAGCAAGCGGACCUCAUAAAGUGCGUCGUAGUCCGGAUUGGAGUCUGCAACUCGACUCCAUGAAGUCGGAAUCGCUAGUAAUCGUAGAUCAGAAUGCUACGGUGAAUACGUUCCCGGGCCUUGUACACACCGCCCGUCACACCAUGGGAGUGGGUUGCAAAAGAAGUAGGUAGCUUAACCUUCGGGAGGGCGCUUACCACUUUGUGAUUCAUGACUGGGGUGAAGUCGUAACAAGGUAAGCGUAGAUGA